AUUGAACGCUGGCGGCAUGCCUUACACAUGCAAGUCGAACGGCAGCACGGGUGCUUGCACCUGGUGGCGAGUGGCGAACGGGUGAGUAAUAUAUCGGAACGUACCUUAUUGUGGGGGAUAACGCAGCGAAAGCUGUGCUAAUACCGCAUAAUCCCUAAGGGGGAAAGCGGGGGACCGUAAGGCCUCGCGCAAUUAGAGCGGCCGAUACCUGAUUAGCUAGUUGGUGAGGUAAAGGCUCACCAAGGCAACGAUCAGUAGCUGGUCUGAGAGGACGAUCAGCCACACUGGGACUGAGACCCGGCCCAGACUCCUACGGGAAGCAGCAGUGGGGAAUUUUGGACAAUGGGGGCAACCCUGAUCCAGCAAUGCCGCGUGAGUGAAGAAGGCCUUCGGGUUGUAAAGCUCUUUUGUCAGGGAAGAAACAGCAGCUCUAACACAGUAUGCGAAUGACGGUACCUGAAGAAUAAGCACCGGCUAACUACGUGCCAGCCGCCGCAGUAA
rnacentral:rRNA from 1 species